UUGCUCGCUUCAGCAGCACAUAUACUAAAAUUGGAGCAAUACAGAGAUUAGCAUGGCCCCUGCGCGAGUAUGACACGCAAAUUCAAGAAGCGUUCCAUAUUUUA